UACGUAGGUGGCAAGCGUUGUCCGGAAUUAUUGGGCGUAAAGCGCGCGCAGGCGGUCCCUUAAGUCUGAUGUGAAAGCCCACGGCUCAACCGUGGAGGGUCAUUGGAAACUGGGGGACUUGAGUACAGAAGAGGAAAGCGGAAUUCCACGUGUAGCGGUGAAAUGCGUAGAGAUGUGGAGGAACACCAGUGGCGAAGGCGGCGUUUCUGGUC
rnacentral:rRNA from 1 species